rnacentral:rRNA from 1 species
CAUAGCCGCGGGAAUACGAAGGGGGCUAGCGUUGCUCGGAAUUACUGGGCGUAAAGGGAGCGUAGGCGGACAUUUAAGUCAGGGGUGAAAUCCCAGAGCUCAACUCUGGAACUGCCUUUGAUACUGGGUGUCUUGAGUGUGAUAGAGGUAUGUGGAACUCCGAGUGUAGAGGUGAAAUUCGUAGAUAUUCGGAAGAACACCAGUGGCGAAGGCGACAUACUGGAUCAUUACUGACGCUGAGGCUCGAAAGCGUGGGGAGCAAACAGGAUUAGAUACCCCAGUAGUCCCUGUCUCUUAUACA